rnacentral:rRNA from 1 species
UACGUGGGGUGCGAGCGUUGUCCGGAAUUAUUGGGCGUAAAGGGCUCGUAGGCGGUCUGUCACGUCGGGCGUGAAAACUCAGGGCUUAACCCUGAGCCUGCUUCCGAUACGGGCAGACUAGAGGUAUGCAGGGGAGAACGGAAUUCCUGGUGUAGCGGUGAAAUGCGCAGAUAUCAGGAGGAACACCGGUGGCGAAGGCGGUUCUCUGGGCAUUACCUGACGCUGAGGAGCGAAAGUGUGGGGAGCGAACAGG